AAUGAUUGGCUCUUUUAAGGUAAAUUUUGUUGCGUAGCAAAAUAGACAUUAUUAAUAUUAGAGCAGUCACACAACUGAAUGAAUUUACACAGUACAUGCUUGCACUGGUGAUAUGUUGCAGCUACUUUCUAAAUCAAAUUUCACUUGGAUUUUAACAUUGCAAAUGACUGCUAACAUCAUGAUCAUGUAAUUUGCAGAGUGGGAAAAAUAAAUACUGGGCUGGAAAGCACGCAGUCUUUCCUGAAGUGAUUUACAAUCUUAAUUAUCACUGUCUUUAGAAUCUGAGGCAAAAUUCUUCAUGGUGUUUUGACGGAACUAAUGCAGAGCUCUAAGUACUUAUUUUACCAUUUGUGCUGCAAAAUUUGGAGAUUAUAUACAUUUAUAAAAUCAGGUAAAGAAUGGUGUUCAUUACCCCAAAUGAAUGUUUGGUUGUUUGCACUAUCCAUUCUAAAAACCACACGGUAUAUGACUGUGCUGUUGAUGGGAAUGUCAUCUUUAAGUAAAAUGCAAUUCCUGGACUUUUUUUGAAGGGUGAUAUUCAAAGAGUAAUAUCCCAAAACAAUCCCUGUAAAAUGAAAAUGUAAUUUAAUUGAUUCUCUGAAUGAGGCUGCACCAUUGAUUGAAGGGAAUUCGAAAAUAUGCUUUCUCUUUUUGUAGUUUAGUUUAGUUUAGUUUAGAGAUACCGCACGGAAACUGCCACUUCGGCCCACAGAGUGCACUCCAACCAGCGAUCCUGGUACACUAGCACUCUUCUACACACCAGCGACAAUUUACAAUUUUACGAAGCCAAUUAGCCCACAAACCUGUACAUCUUUGGAGCGUGGGAGGAAACCAGAGUUCCCGGUGUAAAUGCACGCAGCUCACAUGGAGAACACAGAAACUCCGUACAUUCAGCACCUGUAGUCAGGAUCGAACCUGGGUCUCAGGUGUUACUAGGUAGCUCCAUCGUACCCAUGUAGGACUCCAACUAGGAGUAAUACUGUGCAGGUGCACAGCAGCAUGAGUGGCUUUCAUUGUAAAGCUGAAGGUAUUUUAGGGUUAUUGGAAGUGACUGGAGUAGAAACUGCAACCAUAACUGUAUGACAAUACUGUAAUCCACUCAAAGUACCCAUUAAUGGAAUUAAACUGGAGUGGUCGACUGGAUCUAAACAAUCAAUGUGAAGUGUGCUGUGAAUGUGUCUUUUAGAACAAAGUGUACAUCUUCAGCAAUAUUACUUGUUGUGGUUAGAAUCUCAAAAGGGUUAUACUGAACUCACCAGCAUCACAUGGAUGCCACAUUCAUCCAAUUACUAUAAAAAUGACCUUCAAAGAAACAAUUAAGCAUUGGCUUUUAUUGUCAGGCACUCAUUAUUUUAAAAACAUUGUCUUAGUUUUUCUUUCUUAAUCUUUCAGGAAGGAUUGCAGAACACUGUCUGAAGAAGGGUUUUGGCCCGAAACGUUGCCUAUUUCCAUCGCUCCAUAGAUGCUGCUGCACCCACUGAGUUUCUCUAGCACUUUUGUCUACCUUUGAUUUUCCAGCAUCUGCAGUUUUUUCUUAAACAAAGAAAUUCCUCAUCUUCUUUCUAAAGAAAUACAGUGUGGAAACAGGCCCUUCAGGCCACCGAGUCUGCGCCGACCAGCAUCUCUAUCCUACACACCAGGGACUAUUUACAAGAAGGAAACCCUCCCAUCAAGAUCGGCUGCGGGAGGCAGUCCCUGGGACACAGAGGUGAUCGGGUGAGGACAGGGACAUUGGGUCAUGGGCAUGCAGCAACCUGGGGCUCACCUGUGCUUACCUGGACCAGGGGCGCUCACUUCCAACAUGUGGACCUGACUUUGGACUUUUUCUUUGUAAACAGUGCCAGAAUAUGGUGACUGUGCGUAUGUGGGUUGUGGAAAAAUAAUUUCACUGUGCUGUGUACACGUGACAAUAAAGAAUCAUUGAACCAUCGAUCCUUCGAGAUACCAAAAGAUCAUUUGAUCAAAAUGAUGCACAGACAUGUCAUAUUUUUUUUAGAUAUUGUGGAAGAGAAAAUUGAGGGAGCCGAGGAACUUCAUAAACAUGUGGUAUAUCAGAGGCUAUGGAAUUAUACCCCAGAGUAAGUAACAACUUUCAAGACGGGAUGAAAGAAAAUCGAAUAGCAGUUUAUUCUAAGCAUGAUUGAACACAGGUUCUGAGAGACUUUAGUCAUUUUCUUUUCCAUUUACGUUGGAAAGGUUUUUAUAAUCUUUCUUAUUGGUUUUGAGUGUUGGGACUGUGCAGUGUUUAUGCAAGUAACAAAUUUGACAGCGGCAUCUAAAAUUGAAGGGUUACAGGAUAUAAAUGGCUGAAAAUGUUGUACAUUUUUAGAUGCUCCCCAUCAGUAAAGUCACCAUCUGUACAGAUGGCAGCCGAGCAGCCACAAAUUAGGUCAGGACCCAGGAGUAACACAUCUUGGCAUCGCACAGAGGUUUUCUGAAGGAUCUCAACGGUCUGAUGCAGUAACAUAGAAACAUAGAAAAUAGGUGCAGGAGUAGGCCAUUCAGCCCUUCGAGCCCAUUCAAUAUGAUCAUGGCUGAUCAUCCAACUCAGUAUCCUGUACCUGCCUUCUCGCCAUACCCCCUGAUCCCUUUAGCCACAAGGGCCACAUCUAACUCCCUCUUAAAUAUAGCCAAUGAACUGUCCUCAACUACCUUCUGUGGCAGGGAGUUCCAGAGAUUCACCAGUCUCUGUGCGAAAAAUGUUUUUCUCAUCUCAGUCCUAAAGGAUUUCCCCUUGUCCUGGACUUCCCCAACAUCGGGAACAAUGUUCCUGCAUUUAUCCUGUCCAACCCCUUAAGAAUUUUAUAGGUUUCUAUAAGAUCCCCCCUCAAUCUUCUAAAUUCUAGCGAGUACAAGCCGAGUCUAUCCAAUCAUUCUUCAUAUGAAAGUCCUGACAUCCCAGGAAUCAGUCUAGUGAACCUUCUCUGUACUCCCUCCAUGGCAAGAAUGUCUUUCCUCAGAUUUGGAGACCAAAACUGUACGCAAUACUCCAGGUGUGGUCUCACCAAGACCCUGUACAACUGCAGUAUAGGGGUUCCUAUACUCAAAUCCUUUUGCUAUGAAUGCCAACAUACCAUUCGCUUUCUUCACUGCCUGCUGCACCUGCAUGCCUACUUUCAAUGACUGGUGUACCAUGACACCCAU